rnacentral:rRNA from 1 species
GAUGAACGCUGGCGGCGUGCCUAAUACAUGCAAGUCGAGCGAACAGACGAGGAGCUUGCUCCCCUGACGUUAGCGGCGGACGGGUGAGUAACACGUGGAUAACCUACCUAUAAGACUGGGAUAACUUCGGGAAACCGGAGCUACUACCAGAGAAUAUAUUGAACCGCAUGAUUCAAUAGUGAAAGACGGCUUUGCUGUUACUUAUAGAUGGAUCCGCGCCGCAUUAGCUAGUUGGUAAGGUAACGGCUUACCAAGGCAACGAUGCGUAGCCGACCUGAGAGGGUGAUCGGCCACACUGGAACUGAGACACGGUCCAGACUCCUACGGGAGGCAGCAGUAGGGAAUCUUGCACAAUGGGCGAAAGCUUGACGGAGCAACGCCGCGUGAGUGAUGAAGGUCUUCGGAUCGUAAAACUCUGUUAUUAGGAAAGAACAAAUGUAUAAGUAACUAUGCACGUCUUGACGGUACCUAAUCAGAAAGCCACGGCUAACUACGUG